AACGAACGCUGGCGGCAUGCCUAACACAUGCAAGUCGAACGAGACCUUCGGGUCUAGUGGCGCACGGGUGCGUAACGCGUGGGAACCUGCCCUUAGGUUCGGAAUAACUCCCCGAAAGGGGUGCUAAUACCGGAUCAUUUCUUCGGACCAAAGAUUUAUCGCCUUUGGAUGGGCCCGCGUUGGAUUAGCUAGUUGGUAGGGUAAAAGCCUACCAAGGCGACGAUCCAUAGCUGGUCUGAGAGGAUGAUCAGCCACACUGGGACUGAGACACGGCCCAGACUCCUGCGGGAGGCAGCAGUGGGGAAUAUUGGACUAUGGGCGAAAGCCUGAUCCAGCAAUGCCGCGUGAGUGCUGAAGGCCUUAGGGUUGUAAAGCUCUUUUACCCCGGAUGAUAAUGACAGUACCGGGAGAAUAAGCUCCGGCUAACUCCGUG
rnacentral:rRNA from 1 species